AUCAAGCUCCGCCCAUCACUGCCACCGUUGGUCGGUCCUCAAGAGCCCCACCCAUCACCCCCCCCCGCGUGACCCCGCCUCCUCCUCGGGCCCCGCCCUUAGGCCUGUUAGAGCAAGUGGGGAAGCUGACUGCAAGCUAGGGCUGCGUGAGACCACCCGAGUGCCCUACGCUGGUGGGGAGCACACCUCACAAGUCGCUCUGCAGGAUGCCGGCGGGCCGGACUGUAAGGCCAUGCUUCUCCUCCCUACUGCCUUUUCUGCCCCAAGUGGAAGAUAGUGAUGCAAAGGACUCGCCUGGGGUCAAAGCACCGGAAGCGUAGUUCAGGAUGCACCACCUGCAGGGAAUCCAGGCCUUGCCUCGCUGAGACCAAGAAGUUCCGGAAUUAUCUGGCCUUCCUCCAGUCUGCACAUCCUGUGCAUCUGGGAGGGGUCCUCAAGAAAUCUCACAAACAAGCAGAAGCCAGGAUGAGGGGAUGCAAUGUUCAGACCUGUGAGGAUGCACUGAUCUAGGUGUGCUUUGCAAAACAGUCUAGUCGGCCAAGCAGAUACCUCUGGCUUUCCCACUCCUGAGGCAUGACCAAUGGAGAAGUUCAAACUUCUCACCAUCUCUUCAUCUCUAGCCACAGCCAAGAAUGUCAAAGCUAUCCUUGGAAGCCCAUGUCCAGGGGGUGUUGAGCCAAGGACUCCAGGCAUGUCUCUGGAGCCCCCACCCACCCAUUCCAGGAUGUCAGUCACACAUUUGCAACGACAAAAUGGAAUCUGUGCAGCCCAAGCAACCAAGGGCUGACAGGGUGUUGUGGAGCCCCGUCUUCCCAUCUCCAUCUUGAAAUCAGGGCAGGUGUGAAUAUCUGCACAGAUUCUUGAUGGCAAAAGCUGGUGAGAAGGGGGCCUUCCAGAGCAAUGCUAACCACACGGUUGAUGUGAAUGUGCGCCCUGAGCAUCCAUGGCCUCUGGGAACAGUGGCCUCUGCUUGUCCUUCCAGCAGGCCUUUCGUUUGCCUCUAUGAAGUGGGAGUGGACACUAGGACAUACCUAAUACAUACGAGCUGAGACAGCACACCACCUCCAGCAAGCCUGUCUCCAGCAGUGGAGAUGCUAUUCGGGCGUGUCUGGAACCUAGUGUGACUUGCAUGAGAAGAUAACUGGACCCUCGCAGGGCUCUGGGCUCUGUGAGCCUGUUUUCAUUUUGCCUCACUAGUCCUUGUUGAAACCCCGACCUGCAGGUGCUCAAACCUGCAAGAAAACGGUAGAGCAGGUGCACAGGAUGAGUCCUUUUCCAAAUGAACCGCCAACGCCCUGAGCGCACUCAGCCCCAGUUCUUAACUACUCUUGCAGAGAACAGGACCCUGUACUGUGAAGCCAGUGGAGGAACAAAUUGGGAUCAUUUGGGCUCUGGGGAAAGAAGAAAUCUGAUCCCUUCACCCAUGAGUACUGGGCGGCAAACACCUAUAAACUACCCAAACAUACCGGAAGCUGAGGCAGGACGAGCAUGUGUUCCAGGCCAGCCUGGACGACAUGAAGCCCUGUCUCAAAAAACAAAAUGCCAUGAAUGAAACACUCUGCCCCUGCUCUUGGGCAGCUCCUCGGGCCCCUCAGGCUUCUGCAUUGAUCCUUCUCAUCUCUCGGGCCUUCCUAGUUCCUCUGCCCCAGCUCUCUGUGUUUUAAUGCCCCAGCCCUGCAUGCCCCCCACCCUGCUUCAUCUCUGCCUCUCUCAGAUUGAGUACCUCUGGUGUGGACCACCUGUGCUUACCCCAGCUCUAGGUUCGAGGCUCCUCAGCGGCAUACACCUUUCACCUGGGGCCACCGGCCUGGUGUUUUUAAGACAGGGUCUCUCUCACUAUGUAGCCCUGGCCUGGUAUUCGCUAUGUAGACCAGGCUGGCCUCAAGCUCACAAAGGUCUGCCUCCCUCUGCCUCUCAAGCACUGGUGGGGUUAUAGGCCUGUACCACUCCAUGUUCUUUUGUUUCUGGAUGCACCUAAUUGCCCCAUGCUCUAACAGGCAGGGUCAAUAAAUAGUCAUUGGACUGAA